AUACUGAAAGCAUGGUGGAAAACAAUGUGUGAUUCAUUGGCUGUACUCGCAACGGUAAGAACGUAGUUUAAGUCCGAAUGCCAUCCAGUAUAGUCCGCUGUUGAAUGAAGGCCGAGGAAAGUCUAGUUCUACAAUUUAAAU
rnacentral:ncRNA from 10 species